UAAGUGUUCCCUUUAUUUUUUUGAGCAGUGUGUGUGUAUGUAUAUGUAUGUAUGUAUAUAUAUAUAUAUAUAUAUAUAUAUAUAUAUAUAUACCACAACCCCUCAAAAAAAUAAUGGGAACACUUA